GGCGGAUUCGUCUAACAGGUCAGGACAAGAGGCUUUCAAUCUCUAAAUGCCGGGUUCGAACCCCGCAUCCGUCACCA
rnacentral:tRNA from 1 species